AGAAUGGUCAUGAAUUUGGAAGGGAGGAGAAGAGACAUGGGAGGAACUGGAGGAAUGAGAGGGAGGGUGGAAAUGAUAUAAACACAGUACUCAUGUAUGAUUCUUAACAAAAAUAAAGGUACACUGAAAUGCUGAGGCCCUUAGGUCAAAGUAGCCAGAAUCUCUGCGGGAUGGGUGAAUGUGCCUGGGUUCUGGUGUCUUUAUUAAUGUUCCAUGGAUGAUGCUGUCAGCAAGCCAGGGCUAAGCUAGGCAAUGUCUUACCGGGAGACAUUACCAGUAAGGUUGGAGAGACUCGUGUGCAAGCAAGUGGGUCUCAAUAUCCUGGUAAUCUCUAGGUGGCCUUCUUGUCUUCAUAUCUGGAGAGUAUAUUUCCUUUGUGAUAUGCCUUUGGCAACUGAACAGGAUAGAGAGAGAAAUCACGGGUGUAGGGGGCGUUGCUCCCAUCCACGAGGCAUGGUGUUGGCAUUUCCUUUCCUUGCACACAUACGCUGUGAUCGCAUUACUGAAUAGCCUAGGGUACUCAAUAGAGGGGUGGGAGCAGUUGCUCCCAGGAAAUCUUUCAUCAAAGUGAUGCCAUAGCUAAGGGCAUAGCAGGGAUAUUACUGAGAUGGCAUUGCCAAUUAGUAGACAGCCGCAAGGAGAACUGUGAAAAUGGAGGUCUGGGAGAAUGAUGGGAGAAAGAGUGGACUGGAACAAAGAGAGACAAAGGCAGGGAGGGUGAUGCUGGAGGGAACGGUGAUGCCUUUAGAAUGGGGCAGGCUGUUGAAGGUCAUGGUGCUCUUUCUGAGCCACUGGAAGCCUUGUUUAGGAAGAUGAAAUAGAGUUAGACACAGUGAUGGUCCUCUUGUGUGCAGAUUAGACUUACAGGUGUUUUUGGGCACCCCAUCCCUGGAGGGACGGAGAGUGGUUGUAGCAGGGGAUGUUAGUAGUUCAAAGAAGGCAGUGGCAUUUAAAUUGGUGUCUGCCACCCCACUUGCAGCUCACAGCGGGCCUAUGAUGUAGGCAAUUGGUGAUUGCAUUUCUUUUUCAUAAGUGGAGAAACUGAGGCUCAUGGGUCUUUCAGUGAUUACGUUCAGAAAUUCAACUGAGCACGUCUUACCUAGUUGUGCCUUGAAAAACUUACAUUUCACCGUUAUGCCACCUCCUCCUCCUUCAUCUUCUAUGUGGGCAAACUGAGGGAGUAGAGGACCUAAGAGAGUGUUUUCAUAGGCACCCAGCUUUGGGGGUUCCCUAUCUUCUUCAGGGAGGCCAUAUCUCCUUGUAGACCUUUGGCUUGCUAAGCUCCGCCCAAGCCCCAGAGCAGAAGAAGGUGAGCUUAUCAGAGUGGCGAAGGUGUUCUUUUUGCUAGACAAACAUGGCUUUGGGGGAUUGCCACACCCCUAAAAGUAAAUGGCAGAUGAUAGGAAAGCAUCACCUUUUCUGGGGGGCGGGGAUAGUGCAGAGAGGACCAAUGGACUCCCUGCAGAGUUUGCAACUGUGUCUAGGGCUUUGGUGAACUGAAGUUAAAAAAAAAAAAAAAAAGCUCAAGGCUGGAUAUCCAUUUUGAUUUGUGAUUUUUAAAACUUACACUGCUCCAUUUCCAAAAGGAAUUUGAAGAGGCAUGCUGUUUUCUCAGGAAAGUAAAAGAUGGUUUCCUUGUGUGAACAUUGCUAGAAAAUCAUCCGCCUUACCAAGUGUGAUAGGCUAUGGAACAAAUUACGAAAGCCUAGUGAAAGAGGCUAUGUGUUGACUCCUUCCUAGGUGAUUGACACUGCGUCACUCCCAACCCAGGGCUUGGGAGUGGUUAACUGACUCCUCCAGAAACCUACCAUAAACAACCAGUGAGCCUAAGAUUUGAACCUGGCUUUGUCUGACUCCAAAGGGACAUAUUAGCCUAUUUUUCUUAUUAUAAUACAACACCCGUAAGCUGAUAACUUCUUGUAGCAAAGACAUUUUAUAUUUUAGAGUUUGAAAAAUGCAAUUCAAGACCAGGCAGUCCUAUGAGCUCUGGUGAGGACCUGCAGUGAAUAGAAUCAUGGCUGGAACUUGUGUAGCUGUGAGAUUACAGUGUAGGACAGGACACUAGAGAGCAAUCAGGAACCAAGGCUACACUUAUAAACAGUCAGCUCUGGAAAGAACCAACCUUGGAUCCCAUGCUCUCAGGUUUUCAUUUCUGUGACCAGAUACUUCUAAAAAAAUAAUUUGAAGGAUAGAAGACUCCAUGGUCACAUAGAAGGUUCCAUGGUUCCUGGAUGACAGGGAGUGGGAUGCACCAUCAUGGUGGGUACAGGUGACAGAGUAGAGAUGCUUACAUCAUGAUGACCAGGAAAGGAAGGCAAGCUAUAUCUUUCCAGGCACCCCAGUGGCCUAUUUCAUGGAAGUAGUCUUCAGCUCCUACUAGCCCCUUCCAUUCUGAACUGAUCCAUGAACUAACCUACUUGAUGAAGUUAUUGCCAUAGUAAGCCAAUAUCAUCUCAGUUGCACUACCAGUGGGGAUUAAGCCUAAAUAAAACACAUAAGCCUUCAGGAAGGGGACUUCAUACCCAACACAUAACAUGCACUAAUCCCUUUCAGAAGCAGGGCCAUCAAUGAUCUAAAGUUCUUCCACUCUACCUAUCCUCUUUAAGUUUCUUCUGCCUGUAUCUGGACUUGGCUACUUCAUUGGUUCUUUUAUCUUCCACCCUUCUCCACCCCCUUUCACCCUUUCAGCACCCUAGCGUUAGAUAGGAGAGAAAAAAGCAUAGAGGGGAAAGGAAAGAGAUCCUUCAGUAAAGUCAGGGUUUGGAAAGUGGGUGAUGUUAUUGUGAGACUACUUCCUACUGAUUAGGGGGCUUCAAGUUCUUGGUGGCAAAUUUGAUCUUCAUUGUCAGGAUAUCUGAUUUCUUCUUUCUUCUUUGCACAUGACUACUUAACAAACAGCGACCAACAGAGACUGACGGUAAUCAACAACAACUAACAGCAACUAACCAACAACCAACAAGCCACACCACCUCUAACAUUUAUAUACCCUCUGAAAAGUUUGCAGAAUUCCAAACAUCACACAAUUGCAGAAACUAUAUGCAACUGGCAAAAUCAUGUCCCUGCUAGCGCAUAAGGCAAAUCAUAGUUACCUACUGUGGACAGUUGGAAGCAGCCCCAUUGUCCUACAGCUGGGAUCAAAAUGAAACCAUAUUUCUGUGUUUUUCAAAGAAACCAAAAUUCUUACUACAAUCACCUCUCAAUAGUAUUCAUAAGGGACCAAGCUCCCAUAUAUGAUACCUUGGGGUAUAAACUCAAACAACAUAGAGCUGGUGAUAUUUCAACUCUGUGACAGAGUUAUGUGUAUGCAAACAGGAUACCUACUGGUGGAAGUCAUUGGUUAGGUUACGAAGCAGCAGUUAUUCUGGUUGCUACUUUAUUUGUCCAUUUACGGAAUAUUUGAUAAAUGUCUAUUAUGUAUUAGGCACUACUCCUGGACUGGUAAGUCAGACCAUAGCUUGGCUCUCCUGGAUCUUGAUCUCUAGUGGGAGAAAUAAGUAGUAGAAAAUAUAACAACAAAUAAACUGAGUUAAAGGUACUAGAGAGAAGGAGACAGUGGUAAAGCAUGCGUGGCCAUAGGGAGUGCUUUAAACUAAAGGGUCAGGGAAGAUCCUCGUAGAGAGCUAUCAGAUGAGCCGAGUCCUGUAGAAUAAGAAGGACAGAUGUUCCAAAGCUCUGGCAGUGGGGAGGAAUUGAUGCAGAAUAAAGAGGAUCUGUCCAAGCUUUGAGAGGAGACCUGAGUUUGGCAUAGUAGUCGGACAGCAGAAGCAUCAACUAGGAAAGGGUGGAAGAGAGGUAGGAGAGGAACAUGGGGAGGGAGGCAGGAGCCAGAUGGAAGAGAGCCCACCUCCCAUUGUGAGGAGAGAGGGAGGGGGUUGCAUUUGUUCCUAAGUGGCAGGGUGCCAUCAGAUGGGCUUUAGUGAGGAAAUGACAUAAUAUGAUUAAAAUCUUUAACGUGACGCUGUGUAGAGGUUGGAUUGCGGGAGGCAAUUUAAAGUAUUGGCCAGAGUGUUCUGUCUCCUAUUUGUCUCUGUCUCUCCAGAUUGAUCAAAUCUAGUUCUUGUAAUGACCUCUGCACCAAAAGCCAAGCCAAACCAUGCCAAGAUAAACCACAGAAACUUAUUUCUGUGACAUUCCCAUGGAAUUCUUUCUCAAGAGCGAUUGGUGUUUCAUCGGGCCCUUGGAUAUCUAGCUCACCAUCUUAAUUGCCUGAUCUAGUUUGUCCCAUUCUUAGUAAAAUGUAGCACCUACCAUUAAAUGCUUUUGAGACAGGCUGGCUUUGUACUCCUUAUAAUGUCCAGGUGGACUAAAACCUAUGAGCCUCCUGUCUAAGCCUCAUGUUGAGAAUACAUGAGCGAGCUCCAAGUACAGAUUUUAAACAUAGUUUUGAUCAACUCAGGAUUCCGAAGGACUGUUAAUUCCAAGUUUGCUCAUUAAUGAAGAAGACUAGACUAAGUCAUUAUAGACCAGAUGCUCUUAACAUGGGGCCUCUGGGUUCAUCGACAUACCUCAUCCUCUUUCAUUAAUGUCUUCAGUAAACCCUUCUCCUUGUGGAUUAUUGGAACAGAAAGUUAAAUCAAGAGGCUUUUAAGCAGAAACUACAAAUGCAUCCCACUCUGGUCCCCCAUUCAUUCUCUUCUCGCUGCUGCAAAUGCCUUUACAGAUACCUUUAUCACUUCGUCACGUCUCAUACUUCACUUAAGAUUCCUUCUUUAGUUUCUUAUAAAUCAUUCAAACCCAAAGACAACAACCUCUGUUUUCUUCUUAGAUCAGGAACUGAUAAGGGAUGCUGCCCAGCUUGGAGGGAGAGACCGUAUUGAGAGAUGGCUGGAAAGCGGGCGUGGGUGGGGUAGGGGGAUGUUUUUGCUUUUCCUUUCCUUUUUGGACUGAUGGUUUCUGGAACUGAACUAUGCCACUGACUUGCAAACUUCCUAUGAGUAGGGACAGAACCUGGUAAAGACCUUGAACAUAGCUAAUGCAAAGGGCAAAGUCAUCUGAAAAAGAAUUAUUAUUCAUUUCCCAUUGCAGUUAAUUUUGGCACCUUCAUCAGGGUUUAAAUUCUAGUACCAUAUCAUAUCAAAGGGAAAAAGUAUUUGAUGUACGUGUUAAUUACUGCUAAGAUGUAGCUACUUAAAUCAAGAGUUUAAUCUUCAUUUGACUAUUCAGAACAGCUCUGAGUAGGGGGGGUGCAGAGAGCCCCUUUUGAUUUGGGUUAUUUAAAUAGGUGAUGAGAACUUCAAGCAAAAUGGCUUCCUAUGUUCUAAACUGGCAUUUGGAUGUCUUGCAAUUAGUAUCCAGCAGAAGGGAAAACAGCUAAGAAAAUCGAGUUCCUCUAGGAAUUCCCAUGUCUCUUUGCCUUUUCUCUGAAGUUGGAAGAAAGUUCUGAAAAACAGUUUCAUGUGUUCAAAGGCUUGAGACUUUUGUGAUAGACUAAUAGUAAAUGAUAUCUUAAAAGCAUGCCAGAGGCUUAAAAAUUAGAUCUAUGAAGAAAACAAUACACGAUUAUUUAAAAGCACAAAUUGUCAAAAUGAUGCUACUCUGAGAUAGAGUCUUCGUGGGAAACAUCUUGGAUGAAUCCCUAAUGUGCCUGUUUUAUACCAUGAAAGUCUAAAACUCAUCGAAAUGCCAUGUUAUUUGCUUAGUGAUUAAAUCACAGACAUUUGUUACAGCUUUACAAGAACAUUGUUUUCUUGGAUUUCCAAAGCUUUAUUGCCUCAGAUAUAACACUUUGCUCCUAAUAAUCCCUAUUGAUUUUAUUAUAUUACCCUAUGGUUUUAGAUAUGUUUCACUGCCACACUCUAGCCUUAAUGUGCUUUACAAAAUGAGAUAUGCUAUCAUGGUUCUCAAGCCUUCUGUAGAUAAUGAUCUUGCUCAGGAUGGGUGGAAAAAUGUUCAUUCCUAGAGUCUGGGGUGUGUGAAAGGGGAGGUUGUCUCUGAUCUUGGGCACUAUCUGGACAUUGCUCUAUCCCAGGGUGUUCGAGGUGUUGUCAGAUUGGGAGGACCACUAUGAGUUGCAUCUUUGAGGAGCCUCAAGAGAUUUCAUCUAUCUCUUUGUUUUGCUUCCCUUUUGAGAGGCCUGUGGCUCGUACAACGUACUUGGUUUAUGGCAAUUAUCCAUAUGCUGAACUGGCUUGUGGAGAACCCGGUGUUUUCAGAGAAAGUCAUGGAACCUCUGGGUAAGGUUUAAAAUGUCUUUUCAAGAUGCUUUCUAAAUGUUGUUUAAAAUGGUGAUUUAUUUGAUCUCAGGUUGACUUGACACCCCCAUUCUUUAGAUAAAGGUUUUGGGUCUGCAGAACAGAGGGUCACCAUGCAGGAGUUGGGAAAGGAGUCUGGCUGGUGAGUAUAGGAAGGACAGCCCCUGAGAGUCCUCCUGGCUGUUACUGAGGGACACAGGGAACCAUGUGUCUCAUACUAACCAGCUCUCAGUGUGGCUAACUCUUCAUUAUACUUUACAGGAGACUAGAUUCUUGAUAUCUGGGGGCUCAGAUUCUACUAGAGUUAAGUACAGCAGCUUUUUCUGAGUCCUGAUUCCACUUCUCACUGUCUUAACUGUCUGUGCCUAGUGCUUCAUCAGCAACAAUUGCAUAAAUGCCCACAGUAGAUCUCAUAGGUAGGUAUCAAGUCUCACCAUAUAGUCUGGAGUUGGCUUUGACCUCUCUCUGUCUCUAGCGUCAGACUCCCAACUGCUUAUAUUACAUACCCUGCUAAGAGAUAUACUAAUAUUAACUCUUUCAUUUAUUUAAAAAUGUUUAUUUUUAUCACUUUAAAUUAUGUGUAUGUACGUGUGUUUCUGUGUGGUUAUGUGCUCAUGAAUACAGGUGCCUGUAGAGGCCAGGGGCACCAGACCCUCCUAGAGCUGGGGUUUCAGAAAAUUAUGAGCUACCUGAUGCGCAUGCUAGGGACCCUCUGGAAGAGUGGUACAUUUCCUUAACCAUUGAGCAUCUUUCCUGCCCCUUAGCUCCCUGCCUGCCCAGCAGGCAUGGACAGGUUAACUAUCACUCCUAAGGCCAGAGUGCUACUUAGAGAUGGUCCCACAAAAAACUAACCAUCACAACACUUAGCUUCCAAGGCUUUAAACUAACUACUAUACUUAUACUAUACUUAUACUAUAUACUUAUAACUUACAAAGAAUCACCCACUAUUUAGGUUCGGAAAACAGAAAUAGGCAGUCAUUUGUCUACGGUGACAAAACCCAAACUCUUCGUUUUUCAAAUACACCCACACAGUGGAAGAUCUAUGAACAUGUCAUGGGGAGGGAAGCUGAAGACAGAAGCAGACUGCUCCAUGAGCAAACUUGCCCCUCCUUGCAGUGUCUGACACAGCCCCUAGGGGUCAGUGUUUAAAUCAGCAUGCUGCCUCAGUAUGGAUUGUUUGAAGGCAUGCAGGGACCCUCUUCCCUGUACGUGCUGCAUUUCACUCUAAUUUCAAAUUCAUAGGGAGGAAGGGAUGAUGUCGUAUUCUAGCUGAGGUUGAGACAAACCUGGGACUUUGUGAUCACCAAAGUUCCUGUGUGGUCUUGAUGGAGAGGGAAACCAAUACGAAGGAGCAAAUGAGACCACAUGAAGCUGAUGGGUUGUAAGGAAGGAGAGGGGUGCCUGUGCCCAGGGUCUGUGCAUAGGCUUUCAAGUCAGCACUUAAAAUUAAACAUCAUAAAGGGAAAGUCACCGUGGAACAUCAAGUUGGAAAACAGACACAUACAUGGAGAUCUGUAUCCUCAGCAGACUACAGAAAAAAGUCCCCCCUCCCUCUGCUAUUAAACACAUCGAGCCUGUCCUGCUCAGCUCCGAAGGUGCUGCCGGUAGAAGUCUUAGGACAUUGAAGAACUCACAGUGAGUGGUUCUCUGCAUGUGAGUGCUAACUGGCCAGAAUGAAAGACACAGGCAAAAUGGAGUGUCUGAGGAGUGAGGCUCUCCUGGCCUGCCAUGUUGCUUCCUACCUGGAGCCAAGAGGGUCCCUCCUCACUGAUGAUGAUGAUGAUGUGGAUUUAGUGCUUUGAGAUCCCUGGAGGACAAGUCAGGACACAAAUGAGGACAGUGCCUUUUGGAUCCAAAUCAAUAGGAAUAAAGAAGGAGGAAGAUGACAGGGAGAACAGGGGGUGCCAGAGAGAGAGGUGAAGUUUGUGUGUCCCCAGAUCAUCUCUUUUCUCCUUAAACAGAUUAUUUUUUUCUUCUCUGAUUUCUGCAUGGGAGAAAAACAAAACCUGAGAUCUUUCUUAGAACACGAAGCAUGAAUCACUCCCGCCAGACAGAAGAAGAAAGUGCCAUCAGGUGUUUAAAAUGCAAUUAUGUUUGGAAAGGCUAAGACUUAGAUGUUUAUUUUCAGCAGACAAACAAGUACAUGUCUGUACAGUGUGGAAACUCUCUCUCCUUUCCAUUCAGGUGGCCCCAGAGUAGUCAGGGACACCCUCCUGGGUAGGUCACCUGACAGAUUAGGCUCACCAAGCCCAGGCUACACGUUGUGUAAUUCAGCAUUAAGUAUGCUAUUGAUUCACUGAAGUGCUGCCAUGGAUGUUAAUGGAGACAAAUAUUGUGGCUGUGAGUUUUCAAAGGGCUGAGUAAUUCCCAGACAUCAAUAACAUCUGUUAUGAUGUAAUGCAGGGCAACCUCAAGAUGCUUGACUUGGGGCCAAUCAUGGGACAGGGCCUCUGGGAGGAAAAGGAGCUAAGAUAUUGCUAAGUCUGGGGACUUCAGACUGUGCCCUGUUGUAGGAAUAAGAAAAGUUCCUUCCCUUGCUGUCCACAGCUGCAAUAACAACAUAGCAGGACCACCAUGAUUCCACCCAAUCCUGCUACCACUUAACUGGACAUAUGUGAUCACAGAGAUUGCAUUCAGAGAGGGCAGGGGACUUGUGUAAGGUCAAUCAUCCAGGUAGCUACAGACUAGGCUUAAAAGUAGGGUCUUGGGAUUUCAUACAGGUCUAUUCUUGAUACUUGCCAGUACGAUUUCUGAAAUCCACUUGAAUAUAUGGCCAGGAGCAAGUGAUAUUUCCUUCUAAAAAGCUUCACUGAGACACUCAGGGUCAGUAAUUGGAAGGAAUCAAUUACUCUCAAACAAAUCCCCAUUUCAGUCAAAUUCUGCAGGCUGCCCAAUCUUUCCUACACUCAGGUUCAUUCUCUGCACUGCUUCUCACAUUAUCUGAAAGAUGAAUCUGAUCGUGUCACUCUCUAGAAUGAAGACCUCCAUCAGCCUCUCCAUCUCUCCUCAGAAUAAACAUGCUCCCGGUACAUCCUCACUCCCAGGCUGCACAGUCUCCUAUCCUGUCCCUGUUCUUCCCAGCAUGCUGAACAUUGCUGUUGUUCCAGACCUGUUUAACCUCCUAACCCUGCAAAUAAGCAAUUCCCCAUGAUUGGACCACCUCCUCCCUCUUUGCUGCUCAGGAAACACCUACCCAUCGCACUAGCCCCCAAGAACCACGGCAGAUAAAAAAGAGUUUUUCUGUAGAGUUCCAGAACACUGUCCAUCUGUUGUUAAUCAUAGGGGUUGCCAAAGACAUGACGUUUCUUUGCUUACCUAUUUUUGUUUUCAAAUUUGAACUUCAGUGCUCAAGAUUUGUCUUUACUUUGACUUCAGGACAUAGAGGAAUAGAUCUCUAAUUGACUGAUAAUCUUUCACCCAGUUGGUUAGGUUUCAUAAUGCUGGAAGGUGCUAUUCAGGCUGCUGGAAGAGCAGACAUUAAUAGUUUUAUCCAGCACUCGACAUUCCAUGCUACAGUUCUGACAUAUCAGCCAAGAUGUGCCCCACUACUGUAAUAGUGGCAUGACUGUUAUGGGGUUACUGGAUGCUUUUUGAUUGGAUCUGAAGUCUGCUCAACAGGAGGGAAUUUUAUGCUUCUACAACGUGGGGGUCCUAAGUCCUAAGUCAGAACCUGUAUUUUGUUAAAUGAUAAAGUUAUGAAAUUGCCUUCUAAAUAUUUCUAUUUAUACCUACAGACAUGGGCUGCUCUCAAUCUUAAUUGGAGACACCUGUUUGUUUAUUUGUUUAUUUGUUUAUUUAUCUUAACAGUGAGUAUAGGUCAAUGGAGAGAAUAAGGGGCUAAGCGCUCAGUCCUAAGUGGGAUACUUUAUUAGCUUCAAUAACCCCCAGAAAGGCUCAGGGAACACGGAGGAAGAGCCUGAAUUUAAGAGCCCAAGGACGGGAAGGAGUGCUGUGAAAGGCUUUCAUCUGGGCAUGAAUGGCAUGAGCAUUGUGACCGUGUCUACACACACCAGUUGAGGCUACCCGCACAAGUGUUACUCAAGAUCAAGCCAAUAGCUGUGUAUAUAUGGGGGAGAUGAUCUCUAGGACCUACCCCUUAUAGAGGAGCUCCUGGCUGCUAAGUCAGGAAAAAAAAAAUCAUUCUUUAGGGUAUGGCCACUAGCAAGCUUUCCAUACCCCAGCAGAUGACCACACACUCAUACACACAAGGGUAAGACCAACUGAACUUAGUCAGUCACUCAAAAAGAAGACAUGACAUUAGAAUAAACAUGUGUUGAAGAAGAUACAGGCAGAGUUGGAAGGUAGAAAGGGCAGUAUAUGUGUUAAUAUUUCACUGUGUACAUGUCUGAAAUUCUCAAAGAACAUCUGUGCUCUUGGCACAUGUAGGACGGGAUGCUGUAGACGAUUCUUUGCUGUUUAGAUAAAUGGGUUUGGAAUCAGAAGCCCGUUAAGAUGAGAGUUUAUAUCAGGGCUUAGGGUAAGCACACUGGCCCUGUGAAAUACAGGUUUUUAUAGAAUUGGGUCUUGAGACCCUCCAGGGAUUGAGAACUGAGGUCAGAAAAACAAGCCUUCUCUUAGCCACGUUAGGUAACUUGGAAGGGGUCUACAAGGUUGGGUGAUCCCUUGCCACCAUGCUCCUUGAAAUUAGUGUCCUCAAGCUUAUGUGCAUCAGAUACCAUCCUGAGGACUAUAAUCCUGACAUUCUAACGGAUGAAGUUGCACACAGAUUCAGCAGACAUUAGAGUGAUGAGCAACAGUAACAGACCAGUGUUCAGUAAUGAGUAGGGCAUGUACAUGUGCAGCUCUGAGGACAGACUGCAGAGCUACAGUAGAAUCACAGAGAUUCCUUUCUGCAAAGCAUUGGUUGUCAUUGACCAGUGUCUUGGGGAAGUAUCAGGAGACAGAAGAAGAAACAGUCUUAGGUGAGGGGGCUGGGAGUAGAGGCCACUGGCCAGCCGGUAUGAAAUCAUUUUAGGAUGUUAACGGCCCCUGAUGCUGCUGCCCAGGUACAAUAGCUAUUGGUAGGUCCCCUUAAAGGGCAAGCACAAAUUUGAAUGUGUGUGUGUAGGAAUGAUAUUUGUGUAGGCUAGAAGCUUUUGAGAAAACCCUUACCUUUGUGAUUGAACUUUAGUAUUCCGAGAAGUAAAAGGGAAGGAUUUCAGGCUGGGAAAUGAGCAAGCAGAACAUUGUGGGAAGUGUGAAUGCAACUGUUGGGGAGGCAAGCCUGGGAUGCCCAGGAGCGCUGGGGGAAGAGGAAGGAGAAAACAGCUAAAUCCAGGCUGUGAGCAGCUUUGAAAGCCAAAUACAAGCCUUGUUAUCUUGCCUGUGAUGCCUCGGGCAGCCCGCUAGCCCAAGCUAUUGCUGGGGCAGGCUUCAGGGUGGCCCCUGCUGGGACAACCAGUGGUGCCAUCUUCGCCACGUCUGAGCCUGUCACCUGGAGAAGGGAGCAGGCUUUCCCUUAAUUAAGAAUGUCAUGGCAGCUCCCUGGCUCAUGGUGACUGAUGCUGCCCAUCCGGCUGCCACGUCGCCAAUGUGCCUACAUGGUACAUCAUCUCCUAAUUAACACAUCUUGUCAGGUCUAGCGGCCAGCUUCAGUAAACAUGCUCUGAGCAGCUGUCACUGGGCCCCUGUGUGGGACCUGCUGCCUCAUUAGUGUUGGGAAGGGAGGUGGCACAAGCAUCAGGGAGCAAGGCAAAAAUGAUUUUUAUGGGGGUGUUGGUAGGGUGAGAGGGAUACCAGAAGAACUGAGGGUCCAGUAGAGGGUUUGGCACCAAGCACCAUGAACCGUUCCUUCUCCUUGAAGACAGGGUGGGUAGCAGUAUGCUUAGGAAGAAGACCCUGGGACCAGAGACCUGCUUCUCACUCUGACUCUCCUACCACCCAGAGGCCUCAGACUGCUCCAGAGAAAAGCGUGAGUUGUCUUGACUCAUCCUACCUGGAAGUUCUGCUGAGUGAGUCUUAUGGGGCAAUAAGCCAUAUUGUUCUGAAGAAUAAAAUCCCUAAAAUGGCAUCCCCUGGGGACACAAGAAGAAAUCUUUAGCUCGGCUCUACAAUGUUGCUUGGUACACACCUUAUUCACGCUUCCAAACUUCCCUUCUUGUCUGCUAGUGGCAGUGUCUCUCCUCUCUGAUCAAGUGCUGACUCUCUACAUUUUCUCAUGCUGGUCCAACUCCUUCCCUUUGUUAAACCUAGCCAGUCUUACCUUCUCCCUGAGAAGGAAUGUGACAACAUCUCAGAGAGAAAUGCAGUCCCAUGCAUCACCCAAACACUCCUGCUCUUUUUUUCUGGCCUGGCCUGUAAGUGACUGAGGACAUUUCCCCUGCAUCUUGAGUUCUGUGUAUCUAACUCUGCAUCCAUGAGAGUGCAUGGUAGGCAGCUGACCAAUGUCUGUUGGCCCAUAAGGCAAUAUAUUCCUUUCUCAGAGUUCUCACAAGAUUGGCAAACUCAGUUUCCCUCAACAGUUUGUUGUUUGCUAGUCUAUCAAUAGGUUUUCUUUCAGGGUCUGACCCUGCUCUUCCAGGGCCGGGCUUACAACAAAGACUCACCAUUGCCAUUCUCCCUACCUGCAAGCAGGGUGACUUUCGUCCUUCCCUGUCUUCCUUUUGUGUAUUUGAUUUGCUCUGUCUGUGUGGGGUAGCCUGCUGCCUGAAGCUGGUCCCUGCUCUCUGCUGCUCUCUUUCCAUCAUACUGUUCCUGUGGAGGGUCUGUCCUGGGUGAAGUCUGAGCGACUGACGAUGCUUUGGAAGCAUCUGGUAGCAGCGGGGAGGCCGACUUUUCCAGCCCCUCAGAAGCACCAAACCCACACAAUUUGUAAAUCUCCGCUAAUGAGCAUUUAAAGGGCACAUCCUAAUGAAGGGAUUCGGGAAUGACUGGCCAGGAAAUGCAGGCUGAAGAUUUUAAUUACAAUGCUUCUGUGUUUUCAGUUUUCCUCUUCCCUCUUCUUUGCCUACUCCCCACCGCCCCCUCUCUGAUGUACAUCUUACUUCUGGAUCAGCAAAAAGAGAGGAUCUUAAGUUCUCCCUUGGUUAUCUUGCUCUUGAGGGCACGUGGAGAUUUCCUUCAGCCUGAGAGCUUGGAUGGUAGGCUUUGACAGAGGAUGUGCCCACGUGGGUAGAUGCAGUCCAGGGCUCUGUGGAGGGGCCAAGCCAAGCAGAUGUUUCUCCCCUGGAAGCACAGUGGGGAUCCAAGAGUGCUCAUGAAUGAGUGGCAGCUGCCAGCCUUGUGAGCUUCCUGGGGUGAUGAGAGCUGGGGCCAGCUGAGGGACUUCUGGGCCAAAUGGGUGUUUCUCGGGCCUCUUGUGGUGCUUUUCUUUCCCAGAGGCUAAAUGAAGAGUGGGGUGGGGGGUGGGGGUCAAAGCAGCUGCAGUCACAUUGAUCAUGAGAGGAACUGUUUCUUGAAAACCUUCCACUUUCUCCUCCAGGUCCAUGGCUACCUUGUCCACACCUCAGGAGUCUGAGCUGUGAGAACAUUUAUGCCACUGGUUUCUGGUGCGAUCAGAGAGGAGGCUAUGGUAGGAUGUGAAAAGAAAACAGAAAGUGACAUUGAUUUUUUUUGGGGGGGGGAGGGGGGAGGCUCUGAGGUAUCACCUGGAUAUGUCUCUUACUGGAACCUAUAUUCCCUGUCAAGGUGGUUUCUCUGUAGGACACUGGUGUUCUUUUGACUGCGUUCUCUUGCCACCCUGCAGAUCUGGAGUUUUAGUGGCCGUAUCCAUAACCUCAGGUUAUUCCCCAUGCACAGCCUUCUAAACAUCACUUUUAUUAUAAAUCUCCAUAUCAUCCCAGAUUUAUGGCCGAGUUGGGAAAGGUAUACAUGACUUGGCUUCACAGAAGCUGAUAGUCUGGGACUCUUCAGAGUUCUGUGCAAGGAGAAACAGAAGGCCCUUCUAUGUGGCACAGGCAAGCUGGCAGCAAGGGCUUGUUUUUCUCAAGUGUCUUGAUCUUCGCUAUAGUGCUGUUUUUACUUCGUAGAUAGGGUUCCGGCAGUUGAGUGAUUGACAAGAGUUUAGGAUGAAUGUCUGUCCAGCUAGAGAAUUUAAGCAGUGUUUUAGGGCUAAUGGUGAGAUUGCCCCCCCCUCUGCUAUUUUUCCUGCUCCUUCUUUGGUAUGAAGUCUUGAUUUGAGGACGGUUGUGGGAGGAGACUACAGCAAGUGAGGCCAUCUAUUGCUUAGGCUUCUGGGAUCUUUCUUUCCCCAGGAACCUUUACCUGUAACAGUGCAUGAGCCAAUCAUCCAGCUUUGCAAACUGAAGGCUGGCUGUACCUCAUUUAUGAACUUUGAGAAGGUGUGUACUGUCCAUAAAAGCUCAUCUUACUUCUGAUUAGCCUUUUGACCUGAGGUUUCACUCACAGUUCCCAACUCCAUGCAGGUCUGGAUUCAUUAGCACUUCUAUCCCAAGCUGACCAAGGGAAGCUAUGGUCUCUAGCUGACCCUGGGGUCAGCUGCAUCAUAUGCUGAUAUUUUCUCUCUCUCUCUCUCUCUCUCUCUCUCUCUCUCUCUCUCCCCCUCCUUAUGGCUCCUCUGUAGUUUACUCCCUGUUCCACCUCUAGGGGAAGCCCUGGGCAACUGGGAGAAAAAAAACAACACUUUCUCUCAAACAUGUCCUGCCUUCAGGGUCAGUAUCUGCCUCUGCCUGGUAUUAGCUACACUAAAAUAUUAAAUAAACCUUUAUCUUACACACAGUGACUCUGUACUUCUUUUCUGCUCUUCAUUUAGUUGUCUGUGCAAUCAGACACUAACCACUCAUUGGCUCAGCCAAUCAUUCUACUACAUAUGGGGAAUGUCUAGGGGCCAGAAUGAGCACACUUCUUAUUUCACCUUCCCCGACCUCAGCCAGAUGUGUUUCAUCAUUACUGCUAUUUUUCACUUGAGUAAAUGGAAUCAAUGGGCAAAGAAGCUGCGUGCUGAAGGUCAGAGGUCACACUGCUUGGAGAUGUUGAAGCUGGCAUCUUAUGCAUAACCAUGGGCACUCUCCAACCCCAGGAUGUUUUUAUUGACAGCUUGAGAUUGCGUGUGCACAGUCAGAGGCCCCUGAGAUGAUUUCACCUCUCUUCCCUGCUAACUACAAGCCAUUGGCUUUGUUCAGAACAGAUAGAGCCCUAUGCACUCUAGAGAGCCAGAGAGAGGAGGAGGGUAGCUGCCAAUGGAGAAGUGUGUGAUGGGACAGAUGGACCAAUUCACCCCGACAUGAUUUGCAUCUGUAGCAGAGGGGACAUGUCACGCUGUCACGGCUUUCCCCUGUAUUGACAUAAUAACAAUUCCUUUCUUUUCUUAGCACUUUGUAGUUUUCAAAGCACUUUCAAACCCAUUAGCUCAUUUUAUCCCUACCACAAUCUAGCAAGGAGGCAGGGACUGUUAUCCUGAUUUUGCAGAUGAACAGGCUCAAGAGCUGUGUAACUUAUCCUAGGUCCUGGAACUUGAAUGAAAACCUGAAUCUUGGAUUUCUUGUCUAUGUUCUGAACCUUGUUCAGCAUCAUUUUCUAGGAAGAAACAGGGCAACUCCCCCAGAACAGGAGCUCCUGGAGUUCCAAGCACCUGGACUACCUGAAGCCAUGGCUCUCAGGUCUGGGAGAUGGUUCAGUGGAUAAAACUUUUGGCACCAAGUGUGAAGCCUGGAGUUCAGACCCCCAGAACCAUGUAAAAGCUGGCAAAUGUGGCAAGCACCUGCGAUCCCAGCACUCAGGAGGCAGAGAUGGGAAAUCCAGGGCAAGCUGGCUAGUCAGACGAAAAGAAGGUGUCUACUUUCUGGUUCAGUGAAAGAGACUCUGCUUUAUAACUGAAGUGGAGAAAGAUGGAGGAAGAUAACCUAAUGCCAGCUUUGGGCCUUCACACACACACACACACACACACACACACACACACACACACACACCCCAAUACAUACACAUUCAUGUGUGUGCAUGUGUGCAUGCACACAUACACAAUAGAGUGCAUGCACACAUAUAGGCACACACACCAUGUCCCUACUACAUGUGCCCCCAUAUGAGAACAUAUGAACACACACAGAUACGUAUGAUAAAUACAUAAACAAAUAAAUAAAUAACUUUUAGUGAUUCUCAUAUUUGCAUAAAUUUUUGGAUUUUACUCUUAAAGGUACUGACUUAAAACUGCUGCAUGAAACCUAUGAAGUGCCACCUUCCCUCCCCCCUCCCCCACUGUCACCAUCUCAAUCAUGGGGGCCUUGCACAUGCUAGACAGUUCUCUAUUACAAUGCUCUACCUCCAGUCUAGAAUCUGCAUUUCUAAUGGAAAGUUUUGACGAGGCUGGUCCUGGGGGCAAGCUCUGAACUAAAAUGGCGCCUCACUUCCAUCUUUACCAGGGCUCAUAUAAUCAGCUAGAGUAGAAAGAAUUGCCUCUGUGUCUCUCCCAGUCAUGAGGAAUUAAUGUGUGUCUUGCCUCCCUGACUGAUGCCUGUGUGGUCCACAGAAUGGGGAAGAAAACCCCAGGCUUUUUGGUUCACAUACAAAAGGAAAAUGUCCACACAUGUGAUUAUUAAUUCAUUGUUCAAUUAAGUUAUGAUCUCUAAAAUUAUCACAAUAUUUGGCUCGGAGGAAAGCAGCAUUGAAUAGCUUGUUCCACGUAAUGUGCGAAUAAUGUAACUUUAUUACUUUUCUAGCUCGCAAGUAAUUGUGACUGACACAUUGGCAAUAACACGGAUCACCUUCCUCCCCUCCCCUCUUCUUGUUCACAGCCUCAGGCAUUUCCUUUCUUGUCUCUUUCCUUGCUCACCCCCCCUCCCCCGUUAACAACCUCCUUUCUGUUGCAGGGUCUGUUCUAUCCUGCCUCAAAAAGCAACCCUGGGAGGAGGCAAUGGUGUGAAGGACUAUGGACCAAGCUGUUGGGAGCCCUCAUUAAAGCCUGCCUAAACUUGUGUUCACACUUCUGUUUCUGACAUGUCUCUUACAUGUGUGCUUAGAGCUGACCUGAGAGACAGCUGGUGUUAAAGUGAAGGUGGACAUUUCUGUCUGUUGUUGUUAUUGUUGUUUGUUUGUUUUUACUUUCUACUCCCUUUUAGUCCUGAACUUAGCCUGCAUCCCCCAUUGCCUAGAUCUCUCAGAAGCCUUUCAUUCAUCUGAGCCCUGGGCGCCGAGGCUACAGAGGCUACAUCAGCACCUCGGACAGCUCCCGUGCUUGUUUUCCCAGGAGGCCCCUGGAUUGCACAAGGACACAGUGAGGGGAAUGUGCUGACAAGUCCUCAUCCAUACUUAUCCAUACUUAUCUCCCUAUGCCCAGCCAGUUGGAGUCUAAUUUUUAAAUCACUCUUUGGCCGAUAAAAUCCAGCUUAUACAUUAUCUUGUCUUGCUUUACAUCAUCCAUCAGUGUAUAUUUUCGCACCAGCAAAUGUGUCUAGUUAGGCAGAAACUGGGUGCUGACACCUUCCCCACCGUAUAGACAUGAGGAAGACAGGGAGGACAUACUGGACUGAGAUGUUCUUUCACAUGGCUUGGUUGUGUUCCCACUGCAUGGUUUGUGUUCAGACCCCAUUUCCUGCCUCUUUCCAUCUCUUUUGAAACUGUACUCCAUAGGAAUCAGACCUGCUCUCUGGGGAAUUUUUCUGUCCUGUUCUGAGCUCUGGUUUAGUGACCUGAUUCCACUCUCUUCCAAGCCCCAGUGGGGAGUGAAUGUGAUUCUUUUUCAGAUACUGCAUCAUAGGCAGACUGUACUGCUCUGUCCAUACACAUUAGAGGCUGUGGAGUGGUGGACCUGCAGCCCACUUUAGAAGUGAGGGUACCAAGAGCUACCAGUUGAGCACCUACAUUACAAUGUAUGCUUCAUGAGGAAUAUUUGAUGCAGUCUUUGUAACACUCAAAUGCAAAACGAAACAUUGCUCCCCAUCUUAUACAGCUGACCAGUGUUAGAGUCAGACAUCUUGACUUCCUAACAUGCACCAUUACAAUAGCACAGAUGGCCACUCCUCUAGGUAGAUGUCUACCCCCACCCCCAAUCCUAUGACACCUCUAGACACAAUUGAAUAGAAGCAGCUGACGGCCUUGAAGGUAAAGCCAACUUGGGGGAGGGGUGGGACAAUGCUCUGUAGUAUUCAGGGGAACAACCAUUCAGAUACAAGAGUCUGGGAAGGAUUCCAAAAGGAAAGAAGGCUUGAGUUUAGUUCCCAAGGUUUAAGGUUUGCUUUUUCAUGGGGAAAAGGAUAAAGGGAAUCAAAUUUCUCUGGCUAGUAGUUCCCAGGGCAUACCUGGCAAAUAUACACUGGGGCGUGACACUGUUCUCUCUCCACAAGCCCUUUUUAUGUGGUCCACCACCCUGGGUCCUCUGUUCUAUGUCUAUAAUAAUUUUAUCUCGUAGUGCCUGAAAUCGGACCCUGGGCUCUAGGCUCCAGAUCCAAGCCCUCUUGGUGGCCUUGCUGGUAUUCUUCUCACUAUGCUUCACAGUUCCUCUGGUCUUCUAGAAGUACACUAUCCCAGAGAGAACAAGCGGAGAGGGCACAUGCACCUAAGAGAGAGCACCAUGGAGCUGAAGAGUCAGAGCCACUGUACUCAGCGAGAGAGGCAGUCCAGAUUAUGGCUCUGUUUGCCAUUAACCUUCUAGAUCAGGACUCAUUCUGGUCUGAGUGUGAGUGGUCAGAGAACACUCUCUGAAGACUAAGCUUUGCUUCUUUGCUCAGUAGGUUGGACUCAACCUUGAAUUUGUGCCCUAGCAAGUGCCGUGUCGUGAGGCUAGGUUGGGUAACUCACUUCUAGGCAGGCACAGAGCGGUGUGUGCUGCCUAUUGCUGCCAAGGGUCUUGUUCUGCUGAUGCUCAUGGGGGAAUUUCUGUGCUUUCACCAAAGGAAGGAUCACAGGGAAAAUCACUGUCAGAAAUAUGAGUGAGUGAUACACACAGGGUUUAGACUUAGGGGUUAUACGGUGGCUUCGGGGGAGCGGAGAAGAGUCAUUGUUUAGAGGAAUGAGCUGUUUGGACACCUCCAGGCUCUAAGCAAAGAAUAAUGGGACUAUUGGGCUCAGUCAUUAAGGGCCAGUGCACAAGAGGAGGGCAUUGGUUGGGUAGGUAAGACUGAAGAAAAUGACUCCUCUAAGACACAGAUGUCUUUAAUUUAAAGUCUGUUUCUCAAACCCAGUCCCCACCCUAGAGUGACAGAUGUGGAGAUAGAACUCAACUCUGUCAUUUGCUAUUUUUAGGGCUUUCAGGGAAACUACAAAACACUGCCUUUCUGCUUUCUUGUUUGCAAAAAUGGAGGUGGUAUACAUCCUUCUUAGAACUGAGAGACAAUGGAUACUCAGGGUAGACCCAAGCCAUGGCGUGCAUCGGGUGAACAGUAAGCAUGGACUACUGUUACUGCUGUUCUGAUUCUUGAGUCAAUUACUCUCCUUUUACUGUGGAGGGAAUACCCCUUUCAGAGAUUUUGAAGGAUAUAAUGAAACAGUCUGGUAGCACCUAGUGUAUACGAAAUACAUGAGAAUUGAGUGUCUUUCUUUGACUCCAUUCUGAAGUGUAUUCUCGUGAGGGCUCUUGAUGUUCUUAACUCUGGUGGGAGAAAAGAUAGGAUGCUGUCAGCUGUGUGAGAGCUUUGUCUUCAAAUUAGGCUGACAUUAUGGAAGUCAUCCUGCCUCCUGGACAUGGCAGCUUUCUGACUCAUACUUCCUGCUUUACUGUCUUCCUGUACGCGCUCCUCUUCCCAUACUCGUACUAGGCUAGGCUCUCUCAACAUCCACCUGAAUUCUGGCUUUUCUGCUGUUAUGGUCCUUCCCUGAAAGACUACAGUGAGUCCUUUUGUACCUCCUCAGAGCAGUAGGAGGUACUGAGUAGGUGCUCUGAUGUUGAAUUUGAUCCCUGGAUCAGCCACUUAAUGUGUAUUUUUAAGAGAGCCACUUGGUGUCAGAGACAUUUGGCAUCUCAGUAUAAGGAGGUCAACACUCAUGUUGGGUCAUUACUGAGAGGUGAAAUGGGCGAAGAAGAGAACUUCCUUACUGGUAACUUAAGGUCUGAUUGCCAUGUUGCCUGAAGUCAGUGUGAGUGGGGAAACUCAGAAAUCCAUAGCAGCCACAUGGUUGUACCAUGCCACAGUCUUCUCGCCAACUUCUGCUUUUGUCUGUGUGCUCCGAAGGCCACUGCCAGCUGUUUCUGGCCUUCCUCUGCCUCUUGGCCUCUUGUUCACCCAGCUCAUAUCAUACUUCUUUCUUGUCAUGAAGUCCCCACCUCUGUGCACCCUUCCUUUUCCCAGCUUUCUUCCUGUCCAAGCUUCUACGUCUUAUUUGUUCAGAACGCCAGCAGGCAUAUGUAGCUAGCUUAUCAUCCUGUAAAUUCUAUAUCCAUAGGAAUAUCCCUUCAAAAGGAAAGAAGAAUCAUGUCUAAAUGCUGGUAAAAAUAUAAUUAGUGUCGUCCAGGAUGAUGGAAUCAUACUUGGAGAGGGAGAGACCUAUUUCUCUCUCUUGGGCUGGAUGCCUCUAUAGACUGGUUGCUUAAAAAAAGGAAGCACAUGCCUUUAAUCUCAGCACUCAGGGAGCAGAGGCCAGCAGAUCUCUGAGUUUCAGCCAACCAGGAACACAUAGUUACACAAUGAAACUAUCUCUGGAUUAAAAUACAGAAGAGGAUUGUCUGUAGUGACACUUUAUUAGUAAAUAAAUGAACUCAUCUACUUACCCAACCAUCUGUUCAUCUGUCAUUAAUGUAUCCAAUUAUCAAUCCACCCAUCCUUCUAUCUAGUAAACAUUUAUAUAAUACCUGCAAUGUGCCAAACCCAGGGGUGGCAAUGGGAAGACAGGCAAGUAAAUGGACGGUCAGUGUACAAUGUAGACUAUGCUAGGAGCACAGAUGAACACAAAGAAUUGUGUCUGCAGUACUGGAAAGAAAAGGAUGUUGUCUUCAAGGAGAGACACUUGAAUUCAAGGCUGAGGAACAAACAAAUUGACUUUGCAGUUUUCUUUCAUUGUUACAUGGGUGCUACCAGGAUCAACAAACUAGAGGAUCAUUUUUUAAAAAAAAAAAUUAAGAGUCGAGUGUACAUAGUUGUGGGUACUUGCAGGUGAACGCAGGUGCCCGUGGAGGUCAGGAGAAGUAGUAGAUCCCCUGAACUGGAGUUAAGGGUGGUUAUGAGUUGCCUGAUGUAGGUGUUGGGAACUGACCUUCCAAGAGCAAUACCCUCUCCUAACUGUUGACCUGUUGCUGCAGCUCAGUCUCCAUCAUCCUCUGUUGUCUCUAUUUUUUGGGGGUUUGCAUGGAUAAUUGGAAUGUUUUGGGACAGUGGCACUCAAAACAAGAAGACAACUUGCCUUGGCUUUGAGUUGCUAGUUCCGGUAUCUCAGAAUCUAAGAAGGUAAGUUCUUCUUUUCCCAGUUACCCCUCGUUUAAAAGAAUUGGCACAUAUUUCAUUGUACGCAGCAAUGGGUCUCAUUAUAGUAUGUUUGCAUAUGUAUGGAAUGUCUUUUUAAUCACAGCUCCCCCAUCCUCUCUGUUGUUUCCUUCCCCCUCCAAACAUCUACUUCCUUCUCCCAGCCAUUGUUCUUACUCUUUUCAUUCUUUCUCUUCUUUUAAAAAAUUUGGCCACCAAUUUGGCCACAUUGUAUUAGUAGUUCUUAUGAAAACAUAUUUAUUUAUUAUGUUGUGUGUAUGGUGUGUGUAUGGUGUGUGUGUGUGUGUGCGCGCGUGUGUACAUGCCAUGACAUGCAUGUGGAGGUUGGAGAACAGCCUUCUGGAGUUUGUUCCCCUCUUACACCUUCACAUGGCUUCAGCAGAUUAAACUCAGGUCUUCAGGCCCGUGGAACCAUCUUAUUGGCCUUUAUUAGCAUUUCUUACAGUAUUCUGGGUAAGGGAUUAUUUGAGUGGGUAUGGUUUACUUCCUCUUGAAAAGACUUUCUAGAAACAUGCCAGCGCUGGAACAGAAGCAUCUUGUUCAUUUCUAGAGAACGGAAAGCUUCAUCCUGCUCUGUUUCAUCCCCUGAUGCUACAGGGGAAAACUCUUGUCUGUCCUCUGGCAAUAGCGAGGCAUCUUCCUCCUUAGUCCACCCAGAACUCAUUUUCUCUCCUCUUUGUGACUACUAGAUUGUUUAGAGUCUAUAAUAGGUCAUCCUGGGCUCACAUAAGCUACGCUGGGCGUGGCAAUAUUGUGAAUGAAUAUGAAGUCACAUCAAUGAAAAUCUGGGGCACUCAGAUGCUGGGGCAGCCAUUUUGCCUUAGAUAGACUGAGGGAAUUGCUACAUGGGUCCAUAGUUUCGUGGGAAAUUCUCUCCUCCUUGCCUUUCAUUUAUCCUGUACUUUCUCAUCACCGUGCUCAUAUGAUCAACAAAGGUCAUCAUGGAUCAGCUUUGGUGAGAAGGAUCCCAGCUUGAAGGCAUGAGAUUAAUUUAGUCUAGGAACCCUAGUGGAAAGGUUUCUGUUGUACGUAGGACCAUUAUGUACAGGUACUUCAAAAGCCAGGUGGUGACCAGUCUCACUAUGGCCCCAGCAGCAUAAGGCACAGUGUUUGGAUAUUGAAUAAUUCUCAUCUCCUUUGCUCGAUGAUGUAAAUUCUGUUUUAUUUGCUACUAUAUCCCCAGGACUUGAGCCUAAGCAGUUUAAUGACUUUUUGCUGCAUGAAUUAAGAACUACAAGCAAUAUGAGAGGAAUUGCCAUUUGUCCCACUGGACUCUCAGCCCUGGGCUGGGUUGCUGGAGCCUGCCCCUUGUUUGUGGUAGCUGGCUCCCACUAAUCUCAAACACCAGGCAAGAGAGACACAGGAGUGCUAAUGGAUCUGGAGACUUAAGCUCUGGAGGGCCACCUGUCACAUAAGAUUUACCUUCAAAGGCCACUUGCUCUGACCUUUCGAUAACAUUUUAAAAAAAGAAACUCAAGUAUUGACCAAAUCAGCCCUAUCUUCAAUGGAGGUCUAGACAGCUAUUUGUACUUCUAUUUGAAUUUCUUGGUUCUUUUCUUUUUGCACCUCUGGGUAAGCACAAAGGAAGGAAAGUUCCUUUGCUUGACCAGAUCUCAUUUAAAAAUUGUUUGUAUUUUUUUUUAAGUGGAACCCAAUCCCUUAAGCCUUUAAAAGUAACUUCUGCUGAGCUCAAUAAACCAUUUCCAAUGUGGCAGCUUCUAAUCCAGGAGAGCUCAGAAGACAGAUGCUAAACAACCACCGAUUGCAUCCCAGGACAGUUGGGGGGUGGGGGGGAGUCUCAGAGCUCCACAAGCUGGGGAUGUGAUCACUAAUCCCAACUCUAUUUCUGUGUCCGCUCUGUUAGCUGGCCCAACUCUGCAAUUAGUAUUCUCCUUGGUGGUGAUUUUCUUCAAAUAUAUUGGGCCCAUCAAUCACCCACUUUCCAACUCAUCUGUCUGGAUCAGUCAAUUACAAAGUUAUUUUUGAGCCGCUAGGAUUCUCAUGAAAUAGACACAAGAAGGAGCUAAACUCGUUUCAGGUUUGACCUCUGCCGCUGGGAUCUGAGGAGCUCGGUUUGCUUACACUUCAUGGCCAUCCAAUCCGAUCUGGCCUGGAGAAUAGAAAGGCCGCUUGCUUAAUUGGGAACACUUUAAUACAGAUAUCCAUUAACUUAUGCUAAAUUACAGUAAAACAUCUAUGGAGGAACUUGAUGUGACAUCUGCAUGAAUACUAAAUAACUUCAUUAUGAUUCGCGCUGUGAUGAUGAAUAUGAAACGAAUGUACCCAGAGGAGACAACUCGUCUCCCACCUAUCCAAGCCACUACUGCUUUAUUUGCCCAUGCACUGAAAAACAAACAAACAAACAAACAAACAAACAAACAACUCAACAACCUCACAAUUCUUUUUUCUGUGUCCAUCAUUUCCUUUCAGCUACUGAGCUGUCCUGGCAAGUGGAGACUGGCUUGGGCUACCCUGAGGAGUGGCCAUGAACAGAGGAGAAGUGAGAAUCCUGGUGCCAUUCUGUAUAUAGAUACAUCUUCUCCUGUGAUCUGGUGCUGUUCCACACAGUUUCUCUCCAUGUCUCUGCAUCAGCCACAGGACCUCCAGAUUGAAGGUUAUACUCUGCUAAGGGUCGUAGAGGCACAGGUGAAAGACUAUCCCUGGUUCUCCUCUUCCGGUUAUGCUCCAGGUAACCAAUCUUUCCCUCUGCCCUUGGUCUUCACACUAGAGAGCUCCACUUUAGCCUCUGGCUCUUCUGUCAGUUCAAUAGAUUUAUUCUAGUGUCUCAAGUCUACAGCCACCCUGAAACACCCCUGUACUCCAGGAUCACAGACCUGCCUCUCUCAGCCCUCCUUGUCUUUAUAAAUGGGAAUUUAAAGCUCUCUGUUACUCAGGUCACCAACCCCUGAGUACUCUUAGACUUUUCUCAUUCUGCCACACACACACACAAUCCGUUGCCACAGCCUGUGUUCUCAAAAUAUAUCCACCAGUCAGCCAUCUUUUGGUACUUCGUCUGCUUUCCCCUUGGCUCCAGCCAUCAUCGCUGACUACCCAGAGAGUUGCUCUGGCCUCUUCCUAGGUCUGAGGUCAGCAGUCUCUCUCUUAGGCCUUGUUUUAGAAGAGCCACUUGGUGUUUGCAAAGUUAUUUGUCCCUUCACUGAAUUGGGGUCAGGAUGUCACAUGGACUUUCAGACAUUAGAGAUCCACAGAUCUGAAGCAAAGGGAUGUAUACCUGUGGUUCUCACCACUAUGAGAAAGGGGCUGUUGUGCUUUCAACCUGGACUGUGGGCAAAGACGGCUUCCGUUGGUAGGUAUGCCUUCCUAAGACAUUUGCAAGCUACAUUCAGCAUGGGCCUCUUGCCUUUUUGGGGGGUGGGGGUGGGGACAUCUUACAUGUCUGCAUGAUGCUAUCUGACCCUUGCAGCUAGCUCCAUUUCCCUGUUGUUCAUCAAGAACCUAGCUCCUGUAGCCAGAUUCCCACUAUAUUUAAAUGCACUUACAUAUUAAUUUGUAGGGUAUUUGAGAAUUCAGGGUGAAUCCUGUCCCACAUAGAGCCACGUUUUACCUGCCAACCCCCACCACAGUCCUCUUGCUUGGAUGUGAGCAUCAUAGCUUUUACUUGUACUUAUCAGAGGGAAAGCUCCAGGGGGCGAUUGUGAAAAGACUCUCUUCUCCAUCGGACACAGGCAGACAUGCAGUGAGAAGAAGCCUCCCCCUGAAAUGUGCAGAGAUGGGCAGGAGUCCUGGGGUGUUCUGGUAGGAGCUUGACUCUCUACAGGGAUGUUCAUAAAGAGAACCCCCAGGUCCUUAUGGAAAGGGCAGGUCUCUAUAACCAAUGGAAUGGCAGGGGGCCCGAACAAUCUUGUUAACACAUCAAGUAAUGGAUUUUUGACAGAUGCCUUCCUGCCUUCUAGUUCCUUCUUCGUGCUACUUUCUCACUGGUCUCACUGGGAUUGGUGAUUAGUUCUCACUGUUCCCCCUUCUGAGACCAGCGAGAGGCUCUGUAUGUGCCAAGUCUUGUCGUAAAUGCCUGGUUGUGCCCACACCAGGCACUGCCUUCCAGAGGGGAACACGGUGGGGGUGAAAUUGCCUGUCUGUGAAAGCACAACCUAGUCUCCCAAGAAAUGCAGACUCUACCCUCUUCUGCCUUUCCUAAACAAACUCUCAGGCUCAGAACAGUUUCCAUUUUCUUGGGUGACCACCAACUCCAACAGACAAGGCUUUGAGAAAGCCAGGAGCCCCAGAGAUGCUGACAAUAUUCCAUGGGAAAGAGAAGGAAUAGGGACAGAGUGGCCUGCAGGAAGUCAUAAUAAAGAAGGGUGACACAAGAAUAUCCUUCUGAAGGCAGGGUUCAGUGAUGUCAUGUCAGUAUGCCCCAUCUAGCCCUAAGGUUUUACAUGUGAAAAAUUCAUGCACACCUAUUUGAACAGAAUGUAUAGUGUAUAUUAUACAUGUGUGUAUGUGUGUGUUCAUGUGUGAAGGUGCACAUGGGAAUUCAGGUACGGGCACACGUGCAUGUGUGUGUGUGUGUGUGUGUGUGUGUGUGUGUGUGUGUGUGUGUGUGUGAGGGGUGGGUAGGCAUGUGUGGGUGUGUAGGUCAGAUGUCAAUCUCAGGUGUCAUUUCUCAGAGUCCUUUGAGACAGAGGUUUUCCUUAGAACCUAGGGGGCUCAUCAGCUAGGGUAGGCUUGCUGGCUAGUGAGCCCAGGGAUGCCCCUCUCUCUGCACCUCCUCAUGGGAUUAUAAGCAUACGCCACUGUGCUUGAGUUUUAAAUGUAUGUUCUGGGAGAACCCAGAUCCUCAUACUGUGUAGCAAGCACUUACUAACCUCAGCCCCAGGAAGGAACAUUUACCAAGUGUCUCCUGUGUGUGAGAUUUGAGGCUAAGUAUUCAAAGGUGAACAAAACAGUUUCAGAGUCCAUGAAUCCUAUGAUCCAGAAUGGUAGGAAGAUGGUUGGUCCCUCCCCUUCUCCCUCUCUUCCUUCUUUCCUUUAUCUAGUACCCCUUUCCCUUCACUCUUUUUCUCCCUCCUUUCUUCUUCCUUUAUUUCCAUCCAGUGCAAAGCCCACGUGCUAUAAAGCGGGUGCAGCUAAAGGCAGCAUGGUUACAGCAUGGGAAUUGGGCUUGAAAACAGGCUCUGCCACUCACUACUUAGUGCUGUGCCCAUAGCUCCAUUUCCCUCCAUUCUGUAAUAAGAAUGGUAAGGUAUUUUAUUUCUUAGGGUUAACAUGGGGAUUAAAAGGAUAAUGUAUAUUAAAGCUCUGGGCACAUAGUAAAUGCUUAAUGAAUAGUGGGUGAAAGAAUGAAUUGGAAAAGAAGGAAAAUGCGAGAGACAGCAGAGGAAAGCUUAUCAUCGGUUGGAGGUUAGGCUGAAGUCCGUGGGGAGGAUAGUAUUAAGAGGACCUUGUAGAGUAGAGAGGAUUCGUGUGUGUAGACGAAGGCUAUCUGGACAGAAACAGCUUGAAGGCUGUAAUGGAAGGAAGAAAGGCAUGCUUCUGGAGAGGUGCAUGGAGGAAGCAGGGCUGAGGCUCAAUCAUGGAAGGCUCGGAUUGUCGUGCCAGGGACAAGGACUUGAUGCUGAGCAAAGCAAAUCAUUAGAGGCUUCAGACCGAGGUGUAGGAAGGUCAAGGUAGCAAUGAAGGCAGUAGGAAUGUCGUGGAGAAGAACUGAAGAUGGAGGAAGAGCACAGAGACACUGAUCAUCAAAGGGAGACCACGUGAGACACAUAACAAAGCUGAUGGCAAAAGAAAGGAAGAAACCAUUAGCAGCUGAUAUGCACUGCUGACCAAGGAAUGCAGACAGUGGGGAGCAAGGUUGUCUCUGGGCAUUUAGUGAGAGAACUGAGGCACAAGUGUUCUUGGAACACAGAAAAAAUGCAGUAACUUUUAGAGGAACGGUAUCUGUGCUGUGGAUGGCUCCUUAGGGACCUCGUAGGACACCCCUGUGCACAUGCUCAGUUGUAGUUGCAACUAAGCCUAUGGUCUAGGACCGAGUCUAAAGCUCAGAGCAAGGAUGUGGGAGUCUCUCUCUAAGAGUGGGGACAGAAAGCCUUAGCAAGGACACAGUCCAAAAAGGUCUAAGGGCUAAACAAACUCUUGCUCCAUGGAACCAGCAUGCUAAAUGGGAACGGACCCAGUGAGUAGCAGGAGCUGAAGUGGAAUCUGGAAAACCAAAUGCAAUGUCAAAAAUGGUGAGGAUUCAAAGUGUAGGCACAAGAUGGAUCACCCAUGUGGUCCUAAGUCUCAGAUCCAUUGAAGCCUGGGUGCUGUGUGGGAAACUAGAGAAAGGCGAGAAAAUGGAAGGUUAAAGAAGAACUGGAAAGCUGGUCACUAGGGAACAAGUGGGUCACUAGGAAGCGGGAGGGUUUUGGCAAUGGGAUGAUUAGGAGUUCUGAGUUGAGUGACAGUUGGGAUUGAAAGGUCAGACUCUAGGGAGAGUCUGAAGUCCCCAAGCAUCGUGGGUUGGGUCAGGGGAGCUGAGAGGUGGCGCUUAAAACCUGAAGAAGGAGAUCAUGAUGACCCAGAAAUCCUGCAGAUGGGAUGAGAAAAAUAAGAUAUGCUGUGACGGAUAGAUUACAGGGGAAGAGCCCAAAUUGAAAUGAAUGUGGAGAAGUAAAGAGAUAGGACCCAUUUGUUCCCUUCCCAAUAAAUGUCUCAGAGUUAACCUUUUUAGUUGGAGGGACAAAGGAUACCUACCAAACAAAUGAUCAACAGGUUUCAAAGCUAGCAAACAAUGCACGUGCUAAAACACACAGUGUUGAUCACAAUCACGUGAGUCUGGCACUUUUGAUCUUGACAAGUCCGAAACAUCCGAUGUCCUAUGAUGCACCACCAAAGGCCAGGGUUUAGGAGCACAUGUCACAAUAGGGAGCUUGUGAGGACUUUGAUGGAGGAGAUGGACAGGAAUAAAGAGAACAUUUUCAGUAACAAGAGAGUGAAUACAUAAAUGGGGGGCAGGGCAGGGGCAUGAGCGCAAUGUCCUGGAGCUCAUAGAAGGUUGAUGCAGGGUGGACACUGUACAGGAAAAAGUGGGGACAAGGAAAUGCAGCUAUGCGGACUGGCUCCAGAAUUGAAAAGCCAAUGGCAUUUUUCCUACCUUGACUUUCCUGCCAUCAUAGGCUUGGGCCUCUCUGGCCAUGGGUUUCAAUAUGUACUUCAAACAUCCUGAUCUAGGGUACCUGUGCACAUCCCUUGUCUCAGUACUGCAAGAGAAUGCUGGGUUAAGAGCAAAUUAAAGCAGGAAAGGGUUAAUUGUGUUUGCAGUAUUUUAGUCUAUCAUGGCAGGAAGGUUAUGACAGCAAGAGCUUGAAGCUACCAGUGUCACUAGGUCCACAGUCACAAAGGAGAGAGAGAGAGAGAGAGAGAGAGAGAGAGAGAGAGAGAGAGAGAGAGAGCGCAUUUGCUUGGCUCACUUUCUCCUUUGUAUUCAGCCUGGGACGGAGGCGGUGCAAUGUCACUGCCCACAUUUAGAGUGAGUCUUCCCACCUCAAUUAACCUAAUCUCCGUAAUCUCUCAUGAAUAUAUCUGGAGAUUUGUUUCCAUGGUGAUCUUAGAGCCCAUAAAUGACAAUGAAGAUUAAUUAUGACAGUCUCAAUAUUGAAUACAUAGAUCUCUCGUGGCAAUGACUGUAUGAUACUGGUGGUUGGCCCACCGGACUUGCUCUAUCUGAGGCAGAGAGCAGCUGGUCUUCACAGCUCCUUUAGCCUGUAUGGUGUCACACAGAAGGCAGAACGAGAGCUCGGUAAGUAAGUGUGGAAGGCUGAGCCCAACGUUGAGUAACUGGACACGAGAGAACAUAUACUGAACCUGGGCUUCAGUGUUGGGCCAGAGCUGCCUGCGGCUGACCAGAAAUCUCCAUGCCACAAAAAAAGAAACUCUAGAUUUCUAAAGAAAACACUGUAGGAGGCUCUCAGAGCCAUUGUUAAUUAAAAGCACUCCCAGUUCUCAGAGGGCAUUGUCUCCCUCCGUUCUCUCCCCUUGCACUGAGUGGCAGAUAAGGUGGUGCUGGACCUCUACUUGGACCACAUUUAAUUAAAUGCCUACACUGACUGCGUCCUCACAAACCCUGUUUUUUCCCUUUCCUUCCUUCCAUGCUAAAGAGGGCCAGGGCUAAUACUAAUGCAUAUGCUGUUAAACCUUUUUAAUUAACUUCAACUUCUUCCAGAGAUUUAUGUUUAAACAGUAAAUUUUUUGUUGAUACUCAAAUACAUAGGCGGCACUCAGAGUGAUGUAUGAGCACUCUUGUCCUCAAAAUGAUUCUUCGUGAGUUACCACCAGAGACAUUUUCAUGAGCCUCUUUUAUUAAAAUAAUAAUACUCAGCAAGGCAAUAAUGCUUUACAACCAGCAGCUAAUUAACCCGCCCCACCCCCCACAGGUCAGCAUUAGCAUCUGCAGGUUAGAGAUAUGAUCACCCAGCGGGGCCCCCUCCUACUUUCUAGUCAGCAACUGAACCUGGCCGGGCUUGCGUUCAGCAUCUUUGAGUAAUGAUUUUCAUUUAAAGUGCAUCUUUGUUCUUGGAUGGUAGCUCCAUCUAUUAUUACCGUUAUUUAUUUUGCUCUUGUUUAGCGCCUCCCCUGCACUCGGUAUCAGGCUGUCUGAUCUGCGGGCGACCUCUCACACCAGAUCGUCACCAGCUCUUGGAAAAAUUCCCAUGCCUUUGAAACUCUUGUCUAAUUGCAAAAUCCAUUCACUUUCCUACGACUCUCAAUUUGUGCUCCAAGUAUUUUUAAUCAGGAUUACCGCUGUCGACUGUAAUUGCAACACAGCAACCCUUUGCCAACCAAGCCAGUGCACCUACCCAAGCUUCUGUCCCAUUCUUCAUGUCGAGGCUGCACUUUCCAGCGAGCUGUGCAGUUAUCCUCUCUGCUGUAUCACCGGUGAGCCAAUUAUUUCAAUUUUGGCAUCAGUUUCAGAAGAGAGUUUAAUGAUCCUCAAUGGUAUAAACUGAAUUUUUAUUCCUACAGCAAUUUAGUAAUGAUGAUGGUACUUAAAUACGUAGAAUAUAUUUCUCAUCUUCCCACCCUGACAAACAAGGGGCCAGACAAUUGGUUCAGUCACUUCUUUGGACCUUCACAUUGACACCAUUUUUGCAGACUUACGAGCUUAAGGUUGGUUAUCGCUGUUCCUCUGCCAAGGGCUGGGAAAAGAGAAUCCCGGAGACCCUCUCACUCUCUGCUGAGGAUUCAGGUGGACAUCAGAACAAGGUCCCAGGACUUGCACAUUCACGUUAAUUAAGUCAUUUGUUCACUUAUUCAACAAAUAUUUAAUGAGUUUCUACUAGGUAAGAGAACUCGGCCCCGGGAGAGAGCUGAGAUGUACCAGACCUGUUCUGUUUCCUCUAAUCAAAUUCAACUCCAACCCCCCAGCUGGGUUCCAAAUUAUUUGAGUACUUCAUUUACGCAUAUGUUUGCUCCAUCCAUUCAGCAAACAUUCAGCAGGCACCUUCUAGCUAGAAGCUAUUCCUCUGGGAGCUGAAUGGUUUACAAAGAAGAUCUAAGCUGUCAGCAAAUCCUGUUGCCUCUUCUUUCAUCAGUAAUUUGGGAAUCUGGUUCUUUUGUAUCCUCCGUUGCCUUGAUAUGGACCAAUCACAGUGGUCCUGAGCCUGGUGUGUGGCCAGAACGUUCUUACUGAACUCCCUGUAUGAGGGAGACCUGAACCAACCUGACUGACUUUGAGGCUAUGGCUCACCCAAGUGAGAAGAUCUGUUAUUAAUGUGGACAGCACUGUGGCAUGGGAUCCUGGGAGGAAAAGGAUGGGAAAGGAGAAGGGGUGCUGAGCACCAGGAAGCUGAGUUUGCGUCCUGAUUGGAUACAAUGUGACCUCGUGCUUCUACAGCCAUGGCUUCCCUGACUGGAUGGACUGUGACCCUCUAACUGCAAGCCAGAUUGAGCUCCUCCUCCUUUAAGUUGGUGUCCACAGAUACUUUGUUACAAUUUUGAGAGAGGUAACCAAUGUAAGCAGUGUCUGCACUGAUUGCCCCACCCACCGUGUAUCCUCAGCUCAGCAGAGUGAUCUUUUAAAACAUA